rnacentral:rRNA from 1 species
AAGAUAGUUGAACUAGAACAAUACAUCAUGUUUCCUAUGAUUUAUCGCCUCAUUGAGUUGGCAUUGCUAGUACCAGUAGUGACUACAACAAUUGAAAGAGCCUUCUCAGCAACGAAAAUCAUUAAGACCGAAUUGCGCAAUAUGAUGUCUGGUGGCUGGCUUAACUAUUUGAUGGUGUGUUACAUUGACCGAGGAGGGAUAUUCAAAAGUCUUCAUCGUGGCAAAAUUAAGAAUGAUUUUCAGAAAGAUGACAUGGCAUUGCCAUUUCCUAGGUCUUCUAGACAUCAUUAA